rnacentral:ncRNA from 1 species
GCAUUUUCGAGCCAAAAGUGCGAAGCGCCUACACGGGGAAAUCAGUCCAGUGGACUGAUUCUGGUCCCGCUUCGAUGCGUCGGAUAAUGCGUGAAAACAAAGAGAUAGAGCGGUUCCUGUUAAAACAGGAACCGCUCUAUUAUGGCGGCAUCGGAGAUUUCGAGCUGGUUUACCGGAUGGUCCUUGCUGCCUCCACGGCGCUUGCCGACCAGUUCUGGCCGGAGCGCGCCAUUAAGGGCCA